rnacentral:tRNA from 1 species
UGGGGUUAUAGCUCAGUUGGGAGAGCGCUUGCAUGGCAUGCAAGAGGUCAGCGGUUCGAUCCCGCUUAGCUCCAUC